AAUAAUAAUAAAGUCCUUGACUAAAUGCAGGCUUGCUUCAAAGUAGUAGAGUAAAUUCUUACAAACUUGUGAAUUGCAGAGUCAGGAGCAUUACUUCAAAAUUCAGCAAAAACAUUCAGUUAUUCAGAUGAAACAGAUGGGGAGCAUAGAUAGGCUUAUGACUUACUCUUCUACACAGCGGUGACCAAUGUGAGAAGAAAAUCUAAAUAACUAAUUGAUUUCAGAACAGAAUAUUCACGCUGAUAUUAAACAUCUACUUAUACCAACAUCUUGGAAUCAAAUGUCUACAGGGAACGGGGAGACGAAGAAAGAGAGAAUGAGGGGUGAGAACAGUGAUAAACUAAACUGACACUGUUACUUCACUGGCCCGACCCUUCAUAAGCAGUACGGCUGAAAUGCAAACCUGAAAAUCCAUGUAGGAAUUCUUCUCUCUCAUGUUCUCUUCUUUGGAAAAUGUUCUAUGCCUUUGAAAUGCUCAAGGAACUGUACAAAGUAUCAGCCAACUUCAAAUGAAGAAUGCAUGUAAGUACCUCUACAAGUAGGAGAAGUACACAACAAUAGUAAUGACUCUGGAACUGUUUCCACUUCAAAGCCACUUUUUUGGUGUCCCAUGGCUGUUAUUCUGGAUGAAAGUUAUUCAACAUUGCUCAGCCAAAAGGCGAAGUUCGAUGUUAAGAGAAACCAAAAAAUGCCUUUCAAGUAUUUCUAUUUCCAUGCAAAAUUAAUAUAAAAAUAUGCAGUUGGCCUUACUAAAAAACAAGCUUUGCACUUACAGCAAAAGAUGUAUCAAAGAUAUAGGAACGUACAUGAAUGUGCAUUUCUGAGGAGAGCUUUGAUUUUUCUGAACUAAAUGAACCAAAAUUUGUUAUUUUCUUCCGUAAUAAACAUUCUCCAAGCUUUGCUCAGCUCUGAAACAGUAUUUUUUCUGCUACCAUGCAAAAUUUAUUAAGAUUACAGAAACAAAACAUUCAAAAAUAAAGCAGGUUUUUGCAACUCCAAUAAUUUUCCACAGUAUUCCUAUUUCGCUUGCAAUUGACAAUGGAUGUCACACAGACAACGAAGCCACAUUUUUAGCCAUAGCUUGAAGUGGAAACAAAACAUAUUUAGUGUUCUUUAUAUUAACUCUUGUAACUUUCAGGUUUUCCAAAUGAUAAAAAAUAGUAGGUCAAGGAUGCUGAGUACAGAGUACGUGGUAGGAACAUAAAGGAAGCCAAUUAACACUAAUUAAUGAAAAGAAUUACCACAUACAGGAAACUAAUUAGUACUAAUUAAUGAGAAGGAUUACCACUUGAUUGUAUUCGUAUGCCAGGAACCUACUAUAGGGCUACUCUGAAUUUACUUAAUUGGAAUCUUGUAAAAAAUGUGGAUUUUAUAUAGCAAGUAAUACUGUGCUGUACAUAUAUCAGUGAUCCACUUCACUAUGCACUAACCAUCUGAAGUCCUCUAUGUAUUCCCUACGCAGGAAAGAAAUCAUUGAUUGUGCAAGAGCCGGCUCCAUCCUGUGCUAAUGACAAAUUACCAUAUAGCAGUGAGAUUUGCAAUGUGCUCACAUAGUCAGAUUUUGACUUCUAUUAUACGAAGAAACAAGAAUCUGUUCCAUUACUUUUAAACUGUGAAGUUUUACAGACAUUAUAAAGAGUAAGAAUUCAAACAUAGCUACUGUUACCAUUCCUGAAGUCAAGACAGGCUUUUGUGAUACUAUCUGACACAUACCAAAGAUCAAAAGGAAAUGUUCCCUCUCAACAGGAACAGUUUAUGCUCAGCUGGACUCACAUUUUCUGAAGAUCAUUCUCUAAGACUGAUGAUCUUUUGUAACAAAGUGCAGAAUGAGAAAAACAUCACCUUUCCCUGGGAUGAACUCCCUCUGAAAGACUUCCUUCAGACUGCUAUUUCCAUGCAGCAGUCUAUGACUUGGUAAGAUAUAUAAAUGGGAAGCUCCAUAAAUGGCUUCAGGAGUGUAGGUGUAAGCAGCCAACUUCUCUCCUGUUACUUCACCAUUAACCUGAAAAAGAACCAAAAGUGUCACAGAUGUUUUCUUCUCCAUUAGAAGUACAGUGGUUUUAAAUUUCCCUUCCUACUUCUGCAAUUAACAAAUUUACAAUGCCUUGUAGAAAUAUGCAAUUCUAAAUACCAAAGCCAGACACAUUCCUACUAAUAUGGAGUUUCCAGAAUCAAGUUCUGACAAAAUUUACUUCUAAGACACUGAGAAUGUUGCUUUAUAUUUAAAUGUAAGUACAAUAAAUAUAGUAAAAUCGUAUGUAAUAUUUCAUUGUACUAUUGAGCCAGAUUCAAUCCCUGGUUAAGUCCUUCUAUUCACUUUUAACAUACAUGCCCUGUUUCUGACAAAUGGCAAUAGCCAACCAAACGUAAAUGAGAUGCUGCUUCUGAAAUUUAAAGAGAAUUCCAGAUUUUCUCAGCUUCAAGGCUUUCAACCACACUUCUUUGAUGAAGUCCACGUUGCAACUUGUAGAGGAAGAGAUUUAUAUAUGCUGGAAAAGGUGGCACUACAUUAAAGCACCUGGACAUAGAAUAUGAGUAAUAAACCCAGAGGGCUGCUUAAGAAUUACUACAUUCAUACGUUCCAUGUGAAUUAACUGUGGACUGUAUGGUGGUCUCAGAAGGAAAUUUUUCUCUGAAGGAGAUUUUCAGGCUUUUUAGAUCUGAAAAUCCAUCCCAUCAUGCACUUCAGGGGUUGUCUGCAACAUAGCCAAAACAGCAGCACUGAAAUUUGACUCACCUUCAGCAAGAAGUCAAGGGAGCAUCCAACACAGUCACCUAUCCAAUUUGCUUGCAUUUCUUUUAUACCAUACCAUUCUGGGAGGUCAGACAAAGCAUCAAACAUAGCCUGAUGCAAUAAGAGAAAAAAAAAAAUGAUAUUCAGCUUUUAUAAGCAUGCAAAUUAAGACUAUGGGUUUAAUUACACUAAUAGAAAACCAAUUAGGUGCUGGUAAAAGACAGGAAGAGAUAUUUUUAUACUGACUCAAAUUAAUGUCUUAAGAGAAAAUCUAACAGGGCACAUGUCAGAGGUACAAUGAGUCCAACAGAUAUCCUAUUGUUACUAAAAGAGGACAUAAUUCUGAACAGACUGAACCUCAAACACAGAACCCAUGAGUGAAAAUAAACAGAAAAUAUUCCUAGUGGGUGUAAAUUGUAAGAACUGCGAGCAAUCUAAUUAGCUGAACACAACUACAGAUAAAUAAGAUACGUGCUUGCAGGUAUGAUGGCUACAAAUGGAUUAGUUGCUCAAAACAACAGUUUGGAGAUGGCAGUCAAACAUAAGACAUUUAUAUGUCCUAAAAUUUUCAAGCUCUGACUUAAAAUGGCAAGACAUUUUCCAGCUGCCUAUUUACUUUUAAAUAUUUCUUACUGAUCUUUAAUCAAGCACAAUAGGCUCUAAAACUGAGGGGGAUCUUCAGGAUGAUGUGAUGUUGUACAAAUAAGAAACCAAACCAUAAUAAUAAAGAUUUACAUUACAUUCAAAAUAAUAGAACAGCUUUGAAGUAAAGAGCAGAGAUAAAAAAAUGAAGUUGGCUCCUAUGCUAUCUAGAAUGUCCCAAAGCCAGACCUGUAAUGUCUGUGACCAUUUGUACUCAGCCAGAGACAGAUCCAUACAUUCACGUGCUUUCUUAUAUAUGGUAUGGAAGCAUGAUGGACUACCCUAACUAGUAUUUGCCUAAACACUUUGAACCAGUAUGUUUUUAGGAAAAGAAACAUAUAGAAAAUUAAAGAGGUAUAAAGGGUUGGAUAACUUAAAGUUCAUCUCAAUUUUCACUUGAAAACACUUGAAAUUUUUGUUACGAAUACUCCAUAAAUGUCCAAAAUCUUUACUUUGGCAGAAGUACAGCCAGAGGCAUGAGUCACUAGGACAGAUGGUAGAUAUGCUGAACAAUUACAGUUAAAAUCUCAGAAUAAGGCAACAUGUUGAGGAAUUUUUCCAUUAGCUGUGACUCCAACAUCAAACAUACACGCUCUUCAUUAUCUCAUUGACUGCUAGCAACUCACAAAGAUGGACACUACAUACUACAUGCUGCUCAAAUUAAGUUGUUGGAAGGAGGAUAAUUAGUGAAUAUAAAAUUCAUAUUAGUAAAAUGAGAUGCAUAAAAGAUGUUAAAAGGAUUACAUUCUAGUUAAUACUCUCAGUUGGAUACCCGUCACUUAAGGUAAAAUAAAAGACAUAUGCUUCAUAGAUCAUACUAUUACAUCAUCAUUUGGGAUUAAUAUAGCUUUCUACAUCCUUAAGAAUCAAAUUCCUUCUCUGGUGGUUUGUAAGUAAAAGUAUGGUAAAGUUUUGGAACGUUUUUAAUCGUACUGUAACCUCAAUGAGCUUUAGUUCACAAUUGCAAGUAUACUGAAUCACAGAGAUUGCCCAGAUCUCCUUAUUCUCAUUAAUUUCAAGGUCCCAGAGACAACUGAGAUUUAUUUGCUGCAAAUAAUCCAUGUAUAAAUAUAUCUACCAAACAAUAAGAAAUAUCUGGUUACAUAUACUAUACUUGGAGACAUUCUUCGGAAGAAUUUUAUGCAACUCAGAAGUAUGAAAUUGGGCCAAUACACAGAACUGGUUGGACACAUUAAGCAGAUUUUUAUGAAAUCUCUACUUGGAUAUCCUUCCUAAUCUACAUUCCAUUUUUGCUGGCAGAAACACUGAAGUAUGCAUGUGCUCUACUGAAGCUGUAUGGUCUAUAAUUGUUUGCCAGAAAAACUGCUUAGAUUUUUCACUGUAGGAUUAUUACAUCAAGAUCCUUAAUACCAGUGUGUUAACCAUUUUAACUCUAUUUAGCAAGUUUGAUUAGGAGCUAUAGACUACAGUUUGCCUGAGCCCAAUUAUUCUCUUCAUAAUGCUUCAUGCAGUUAAGCACAAUAUUUAGGAGCCAAAAGAGCCAACUUUGCUUCACCUGAAUGAAGAUAACAAAGCUUACUCCAUGUUGUAACACAACCUGGCAGUUUGGAAACAAUAACCUUUCACACCUUAAUGUGUAUAUGAAUAAUAUUAUAGUGUGACCAAAAGGGAGAAAAAAAUCAACCUGGCAUUAUGAUUGUCUGUUCUUUGUACUCAACACACUGCUUUGGCUUCUUGUCAAGGCUAUGAAUGGCAAAAUAAAGUAGAAAAUCAACAACAUGCAGAACAAUCACUUUUUGUAGUGUUACAAAGGCAAAAAACUAUACUGAAUGUACACAUACAUCAUUACAGUAACUGUUACUGGAUGGUAAAUUAACCUAGGAUCCACACUAACAGGGAAGUAGGAAAGCACACUAAUUCUUGCACAUAUUAAUGCACUUUUACAUUCACCUGCAAAAAUUCAUUCUGAGCAAAUGAGGUUUUUAAAAACUUUUUAAAGGAAAAGUGACAACUUUUCAUCUUCAGUUGCAUUACGCUCUGCCAGAAUAUCAAUAUAUACAUAGAAUGCUUGGGUAUGCGAAACUCCUUAAACUGAAGCCAAUCUAAGCUAGCACGUAACUUCUGAAUAGUAUAAACUAUCUUUAGAAAUGUUAAAUAUCGUCUCCAUGAAUCUUGUUUCCACAUUCUACUUUAAAGGUCAGUGAUGUAUUUGGUAUAAACAUCUUCUGAAUUAAGAUAGUUUGAUAAAUCUUGCUGCCAAUUAUUAUUUUGCAAUCACUGCUAUGAUUCCUUAGACAAAAGUUCUGAUUCCUGAAGACAUGUAAUAUAGCCCAAGAGCCUGAGCUACAAGAUCUGUUAACUCAGUAGCACAGAAAAGACAAACAACAGGAGUCUGAAGAUGAUGUUGUCCUCCUGAACAACCGCUACAUGUAUUGAUGCCCUGCUUACCAAGACGUGGCUCAACACUGUUUGCUGAUGGGAAGUAAUAGGAUAGUUUUUUCACUCUUCAAUUUCAGAUGGCUUUUACUUUUUUUUUCCCCCCUCUUUUUUCUUUAAAAAUAUUAUCUCAGCCUGGAGCCUUUUUUUUCCCCCCCAUCACUUUUCCUCCCCCCUUCCCCCAAACCCCUAUCUUCCUUUGAGGAGGGGAAGUGAGAGAGAGGUACGGCAGAGUUUAGAUGGCCAUCAGAGUGAAACCACCACAAGCAUAAAUACAUUCUGGAAGUCUUAUAGAUCUGAAGAUAGACAGACUCAGGAAAAAAAAAAGUGAGAGAAAUCAAAGCUACAUUCAGGGCUAAGAAUGCCCUUUAAGGCUCCUACAUCUUCAGGAAAGAUUGACUUAGGUAAUGGAGAAGCUGAAGAUAAACUAAUGCUUCACAGAACUAUUUAACCCUUUCAAAGCAACUAGAAAAUUCUGGUGUAGCUAAAAGAUGACAGUCAACCAGUACAGAUGAUCAUAGAGUCAUAAAAUCAAGAGAAGCUUGCUGUGAAUUCAUCAUGGAUAACGGUGACCAAGUCUAAAACAAGAAAUAAGGCAUCCUGCAUGCAGAUAACCAAUUUCACAUACCCCACUGUUUGGGGUGUUGAAGAUUUACUGAGAAACAACUUUUAGUUGCUUAGUAAUCUUCAGGCAGAAGAGAGAACACAUUAAAACUAAACAAUAGAAAUGUUUUAUAAUUCCCCAAGAGUCUCACUUCCUAAAGUUCCCCUGAUUGUAGUUCAAAAAGGGUGAAUUCUGAUCAGCACCUAGAAGAUUCACUUUCUGACUUUGGGCAAUAAAAAUUUUAAUACAAGCAAUGCCUUCCAUUAAUUAAAUACUGAGUAAGAGUAUUUCAGCUUCUCUGUGAUAAUAAAUGCAAUAAAAUGAAACAGUAGAUAGAAAGUUAUAAAGCUAAAAAUUUACUAUACAUUCGGUGUAUUCACUCUAAUGAAGUUUCACAAAUUUGCUUCGUCAGUGAAGCUUCUUAAAUGGAGACUAAAACAAAAAUGUCAUAGAAGGUUUAAUUUCAGAAGCAUUCAAUUAAAUAGGAAAACAAAACUGCCUUUUACUAAAAAAGUUAAAAUUAAAAGCAGAAGCAUUUUUCUAAGGAAGAGUAAAAAAACCUAAAGAUCUGUUGGGAUUAAAACAAAAUUAUUCACUUCAUUUGACCAAGCUCUCAAAGGAGUAUCCAAAUAUAAACUACACAUUACACAGAAUCAUUUAAUAAAAUGCAACAUACUAACUAAAGUACAGGAAGCUACAUUUAAGCUGCCCACUACUUUAUUUUGCAUCCUAUUGCACAGUUCCAAUUGUGAUUAUGUGGUACAGCUUCUGUUGGUAGUUUUAGAUCUCGUUCUGCUUGUUUUGUUGUCUGGGGUGGGUUUUUUCAGUUGGUUAUUUUCUUUUUACCUUCAGUAGUUACCGUCUGUAAUGUCAUAGGUCACUCUCAACUCUUAUUUCCCAGGUGUGAAGUAUACUGAAAACAUAUAUAAAGGAGUAAUAACACAGAUACUAUGUAUGAUUCCAGUUCUUCCUUCUGCAUGGGAAAAACUGCUGACAGUUCAGACAAUUCGUGGUCAACAAACAUCUCUGGUUUGACUACAUGUAACUGAAGCAAAUAACUGACAUCUCAAAUGCCAAAAAUAAAGCCAGUGUUCUCUUCUA